rnacentral:snoRNA from 1 species
GGGGUGUGCUCAGAGCAGGGGGCCCGAAGACACGGCUCGGCUGUUUCCAACACACCCGACAGGAACCUGGGUUCGCUGCGGCCUUCCUGUGAGCAGAAACCCCGCACCU